rnacentral:rRNA from 1 species
UACGAAGGGGGCUAGCGUUGCUCGGAAUCACUGGGCGUAAAGCGCACGUAGGCGGGUCUUUAAGUCAGGGGUGAAAUCCUGGAGCUCAACUCCAGAACUGCCUUUGAUACUGAGGAUCUCGAGUCCGGGAGAGGUGAGUGGAACUCCGAGUGUAGAGGUGAAAUUCGUAGAUAUUCGGAAGAACACCAGUGGCGAAGGCGGCUCACUGGCCCGGUACUGACGCUGAGGCACGAAGGCCAGGGGAGCGAACGGG